UGAUUUCACGAGCGGGCACAGAGAAAAUAAAAAAGGUAGUGGUGUAGGUAUAUAUAUUGCUGAAAGGUUGAAAUACAAACUACGUAAAGAUCUAAAUAUUAACAUAUACGAAACAAUUGAAUCCACUUUUAUAGAGGUAGCCACUGAAAAUGGGAAAAAUAUUAUAGUCGGGGUAAUUUACCGGCCACCAAAUAUUAAAAUUGAAACAUUUGAAAACGCCAUGAACCAAAUUUUGAGCAAGUUAGACAAAGAGAAUAAGAUCUGCUAUCUUAUGGGAGACUUUAAUAUCGAUUUGCUUAAAUCAGAAUCUUGUGAUUUUGCCAAUAAUUUCACCGAGCAACUUUUUACAUCUUCUUUUUACCCACUUAUAGCAAUAUUUUCACGAACAAGAUUGAUAAGAUUACCUCAAGUAUAAUUGGAUUAUUUUAGUGACAUUACAGAUCAUCUACCAAUAGUUCAUACAUGUUGUUUGGAUACACUAAAACCUAGCAAAAAAUACAGAAGAAAAAUACUAUACAAAAAAAUAUAUAUAAUAAAAAUAGCUUAAAUUUAUUUUCAGAUGAAAUUGAACAUUUAUCUUGGGAAGGCACGAUUUCUUCUAAUAACCCAUGUGAGUCCUUUAAUCAGUUUUCAAUGUUAUUCACGAGUAGGUAUGAAAAAAAAAUUCCGAUAAAAAGAGCAAAAGUAAAAAUGAACAUUAAUAAACAUAGAAGUCCACGGAUGACAAAAUGUGUUUUAAAAUAAAUCAAAAAGAAAAAUAAACUACACAAAAAACACUUAUCCGAUUCAAGUAAAAUAAAUGAGAAUGUAUACAAAAAAUAUAAAAAAACUAAAUCAUGUAAUUAGAUUAUCCAAAAAAAUUAUUAUGAACAAGAAUUAAUUAAAAGCACAGUUCAGCCUUUUGAACGAUGGUUUUUAAGGCGCAUUUCAGCCCUUUUAAUUGAAAACACUAACUAGGAAUUUAAAAUGUUAAAAACAUUGAAAUUGGUGAUCUUGAAUUAUGCUUAAUUGAUUUUCCUACAAUCACUUUCAGAAGUUGUUGGGACACAUGUAGUCUUAGAUUGUAUAAGUGGAUCAUUACAGUUUUUUACACACAAUACCGCUCCCCUCCCCUCCCCUCCCCCUCCCCCUCCCCCCACCCCAAUCAAUGUUGCUCCAACUAAAACACAUCAAACCUUACUGAA